AUAACAAACGUGAAAAGGACAUGGCACGCGCACAAGACGCACAGUUCGUCGCGGAAUAUUGCAUAAUUUCAUUUUAAUCAUGGUGCUCCAAAAAUUAAUUUGCUUACCAAGUUGCUGAAGAUUCAUCUGCGUCUCGACCGCUUCAGCACCGUCACCAAAGAUAAACGAUUUUGUUGGAAGCUGCCGGAUGGAGCUGCGACCGGGACGAGCUGUUUGACCAACUUGGUGGAAGCUCAACGGAUUCAAUUUGACCACUUUCACCAAAGUGGAAGACGACGCGGAGGCAUCGGAAAAAAGCUCGAGCACACCAAUAGAACCAAUAGAACCGACCUUGAUGCACUCGAUGCGUGCCUUCUAUCAAACCCGGAAUUGAGCGUUUCAACUGAAAAUCAAUCUUUUUGGCCCGUCGUAACUGCAACUGUGACAACUGCAUGGACUGCGGUAUCAGCGGAGCUCCUUCUUCCAUCCAAGCUUCCAUCAUCUUCGUCGGCCGUGGCAUCGGAAAAUAUCCCAGACCAUCAUUUGCGUUAGGUAGUGGCAUUUGCGAUGUGAAAUGUCCAGCUGUGAACAUUGCUCAUGCAGCAACAUUGUUCAGUCCACGUGGCCUAGAACUACUCCAGUGUACAAUAAAAAAAAAUAACAAAACUUAUUUUUUCAAUCAUAUUAUUCAAAAUUUUAAUUUAUUGUUAUUUUAAAGCCAAUUCCCAAUGAAAAUAAUCUUAUUAUUCCCAUUAAUAGGAACUAUGUGCCUCACAACUGAAAUCUGAUCAACUGACUUUUAAAAAGUAAAAGGUUCGCACAUAAAAUCCAUCUUGACUGAGUUGGCAAAGUUUCGAUAAGCCUGCACUUAUUUUUUAAGUGCAAAAUCAAUUGGUCACAAUCCAAGUGCAAGAAACUUAUAUUCAAUAGGUUAAUUAAUCUGAGUGUACAGAUUCUUCAAGGAACUCUUCCGGAAAUCCACCUUGUAUUCUUUGAAGAACUCCUCCAGGAAAUAAUUCAGUAUUUCCUCCAGGAGCUGUUUUGGAAUUCCCUUAAGAAUUCCUCCCAAAAUUGCUUCCGGGAUUCCUUCUGGAGUUUCUUCAGGUUCUCUUCUGAGGAUUCCUCCAGAAUUUCUGCAAGAAUUCCAUCUGCGAUUUCUUCAGGAAUUAUUCCUGGUAUUCCUCUAUGAAGUUCUCAAGAGAAUCAUCCACGAAUUUCUUCAGGAAUUUCAUUUCAUCUUGAGAUUCCUCCAGAAACUCUGCCAGAAAUUCCUCUAGAGAUUUCUUCAGGAGUUCUUCUGGAGAUUCCUUCAGGAAU